rnacentral:rRNA from 1 species
AUUGAACGCUGGCGGCGUGCUUAACACAUGCAAGUCGAACGGAAAGGCCUCUUUCGGGGGGUACUCGAGUGGCGAACGGGUGAGUAACACGUGAGUAACCUGCCCUUGACUUUGGGAUAACUUCAGGAAACUGGGGCUAAUACCGGAUAGGAGCUCCUGCUGCAUGGUGGGGGUUGGAAAGUUUCGGCGGUUGGGGAUGGACUCGCGGCUUAUCAGCUUGUUGGUGGGGUAGUGGCUUACCAAGGCUUUGACGGGUAGCCGGCCUGAGAGGGUGACCGGCCACAUUGGGACUGAGAUACGGCCCAGACUCCUACGGGAGGCAGCAGUGGGGAAUAUUGCACAAUGGGUGGAAGCCUGAUGCAGCAACGCCGUGUGCGGGAUGACGGCCUUCGGGUUGUAAACCGCUUUCGCUCAUGACGAAGCUUUGUGUGACGGUAGUGGGUAAAGAAGCACCGGCUAACUACGU